CUUUUUCUUUCUCUGGCGAUGGCAGUUCCUCACCAAGGUCCAACACGUGGGAAGCCAGUUUAAGCCUGGAAUGCCAGCUCCCAUUUACGUUCCCCCUCGAGGUCAGGGAGCCACAGGAAAGCGCAAAGGCUGAGGGAGGAGAGGCCCCCCGGAUGGGUCCCGCAUGCCCUUUCUGCCCUGACCUGGAAAAUUCACCUGGAAAACCCACGAGGCUCCCAGGGCAGAUGGCCUCACGUGACCCAGAUGUCAAGCCAUCGCGAUUCCUAGAGGGAGCUUGGCAGGCUUUCUCGUGGGGACCAGCAGGAAUCUAGGCGGAUUUAAACAGAAACCCGACUUCCUGGGCUUUAACAGAUUUAAACAGAAACCCGACUUCCUGGGCUUUUGCGUUCAUUAAACUUGGGGCAAAUGUAACUUUUUGUCUCUGAGAGUUUAAAACAAAACAAAACAAAAACAAUCUUCACUGACCCCUAAAAAAGGCUCAAAAAACUUUGGAAAGUUCGAAGAAGGACUCAAAUCCCUCUUUCGAUGGGCUCGUUACUCAGCGCUCAGAAACACCAGGACGACACCUUUCACAUUUAAUAUAACGGAUGGGAAAGUUUUUGGCAGAUGGCUUUUUUUCAGGAAACCGUUUUCUGAAAAAGACAUCCUGGUGGGGUUCUAAGCGUGGGUGCCUGUGCCCUGGACCCGUCGCUUACCCACAGGGCACCGUGGGCGCCGUUCUCCACUUUUGGCCCCUUUAGAGAUGGGAAACGCGUUGCCGCUUCGAAAGUUCCAGAUGACCCACAGGUGUGCCUCCGUCGGGAAUGCUUUGUGCCCCUGUAACAAUCACGAGGGCCUUGUCUUUCCAAGUAGUUUAUGUUUCAAGUCAAACGUGGGGUGGGCUGGCCGCGUCUUGAGGGAUGAGGAGGCGUUCCAGAACUGUUCACGCCUUAGCAAUAAUCCUGCAAUAUAUUAGGACGAAAGUACAAAAACAGAUGCUGGGGAGAAGGCAGGGCUCCUUGGCCGGCCCAUUCAUCACA